rnacentral:rRNA from 1 species
CCCUUAGAUGUUCUGGGCUGCACGCGCGCUACACUGAAGCGUUCAACGAGUAUUCACCUUGCCCGGGAGGGUUGGGUAAUCUUUUGAAAACGCUUCGUGAUGGGGAUAGAUUAUUGCAAUUAUUAAUCUUCAACGAGGAAUUCCUAGUAAGCGCGAGUCAUCAGCUCGUGCUGAUUACGUCCCUGCCCUUUGUACACACCGCCCGUCGCUCCUACCGAUUGAGGGAUCCGGUGAAUAAUUCGGACUGCAGCACUGCUUGGUCUCCAGGCUUUGCAGCGGAAAGUUUAGUGAACCUUAUCACUUAGAGGAAGGAGAAGUCGUAACA